rnacentral:rRNA from 1 species
AGUGAACGCUGGCGGUAGGCCUAACACAUGCAAGUCGAACGGCAGCACAGUAAGAGCUUGCUCUUACGGGUGGCGAGUGGCGGACGGGGGAGGAAUACAUCGGAAUCUACUUUUUCGUGGGGGAUAACGUAGGGAAACUUACGCUAAUACCGCAUACGACCUACGGGGGAAAGCAGGGGAUCUUCGGACCUUUCGCGGUUGAAUGAGCCGAUGUCGGAUUAGCUAGUUGGCGGGGUAAAGGCCCACCAAGGCGACGAUCCGUAGCUGGUCUGAGAGGAUGAUCAGCCACACUGGAACUGAGACACGGUCCAGACUCCUACGGGAGGCAGCAGUGGGGAAUAUUGGACAAUGGGCGCAAGCCUGAUCCAGCCAUACCGCGUGGGUGAAGAAGGCCUUCGAGUUGUAAAGCCCUUUUGUUGGGAAAGAAAAGCAGCAGGUUAAUACCCCGCUGUUCUGACGGUACCCAAAGAAUAAGUACCGGCUAACUUCGUG